rnacentral:pre_miRNA from 1 species
GUGUUCCUAGAGUUCCCUUGACCACUUCAUUAGGGAUUACUUCGUUGUUUGAUGCUCUGCUGAAGUGUUUGGGGGAACUCCUGGGCUCAC